rnacentral:rRNA from 1 species
CGAGUGAAGCGGCAAAAGCUCAAAUUUGAAAUCUGGCACCUUCGGUGUCCGAGUUGUAAUUUGAAGAUUGUAACCUUGGGGUUGGCUCUUGUCUAUGUUUCUUGGAACAGGACGUCACAGAGGGUGAGAAUCCCGUGCGAUGAGAUGCCCAAUCCUAUGUAAGGUGCUUUCGAAGAGUCGAGUUGUUUGGGAAUGCAGCUCUAAGUGGGUGGUAAAUUCCAUCUAAAGCUAAAUAUUGGCGAGAGACCGAUAGCGAACAAGUACAGUGAUGGAAAGAUGAAAAGAACUUUGAAAAGAGAGUGAAAAAGUACGUGAAAUUGUUGAAAGGGAAGGGUUUGAGAUCAGACUCGAUAUUUUGUGAGCCUUGCCUUCGUGGCGGGGUGACCCGCAGCUUAUCGGGCCAGCAUCGGUUUGGGCGGUAGGAUAAUGGCGUAGGAAUGUGACUUUGCUUCGGUGAAGUGUUAUAGCCUGCGUUGAUGCUGCCUGCCUAGACCGAGGACUGCGAUUUUAUCAAGGAUGCUGGCAUAAUGAUCCCAAACCGCCCGUCUUGA